rnacentral:lncRNA from 1 species
CAUGGGUCCUACAAAGAGGCAUGAAGUCUGUCUACGCUUGCGCAGAUCAUCAGUUACCUCACCUCUCCUCACCUCCAAUCACCUCUCCACAUUUCAGACCGCCUUGCCCCCAUCCCAUAAAUAUCCCUGAGUGCCUAUUUUCAGCGAAGUGGAUUUGAGGCUCAUGCUCUCGCUUCCUUGCAUGGCUGCCUUCAUGGAAUGGAGCAUCAGCGUGGGUGUCCAUCCAUGAGAAGCAGCAACUUAGGAAACCGUUGGAACGACUGAGUGAGGAAGAUUGGCCCUGAGCUAAGAGCACAGCUUGAUGAGAGUGCCUCUGCUCCUCGGGACGGAGGGAACACGGGAGAGGGAGACCUCCGGCGGUGGCGGCUGCCCGCAAUGCACUGUCGGGGAGUCCCCGAGGGAGGAAACGACUUAAAGCAGUUACUCCCUGAAAGUCUGCUUGCGAAGGAAGCUAAAUUUACUGUGAGGAUUCAGGCUAUAGUUUUUUUGUAGACUUUAUUUUUUAGAGCAGUUUUAGGUUCCCAGCAAAAUGGGCGGAAAGUACAGAGCUCCCCUAUGCUGUCCCCCACCCCCAGCCACAGCUUCCCUCGCUGUGGACAUACCCCCGGGAGAGCGGUACGUUUGUUACAAUCAACAACUUACAGUGACACAUCAUUAUCACUCAGAGUCCAUAGUUUACUUUAGGGCUCAGGCGUGGUGGUGUACGUUCUGUGGGUUUGAUAAAUGUUUAAUGACAUGUCUCCACCAUAGUAGUUCCAUCCAGAGUAGUUUCACUGCCCUAAAAUGCUCUGUGUCCGCCUAGUCAUCAAUCCCUUCCCCGAACUCCUGGCAACCACUGAUCUUUUUACUGUCUCCAUAGUUUUGCCUUUUCCAGAAUGUCAUCUAGUUGGUGUCAUGCAGUUUGCAGCCUUUCAGAUUGGCUUGUUUCACUUAGCAAUAGGCAUUCAAGUUCCUCCAUGUCUUUUCAUGGCUUGAUAUCUCAUUUCCUUUUAAUGUUAAAUAGUAUUCCAUUCUCUGCAUGUGCUACAGUUUAUUUAUCCUUUCACCUGCUGGAGGACAUUUUGGCUGCUUCCAAGUCUUGGCAAUUAUGAAUAAAGCUGUGAUC